CCUACGGGAGGCAGCAGUGAGGAAUAUUGGUCAAUGGGCGCUAGCCUGAACCAGCCAAGUAGCGUGAAGGAUGACUGCCCUAUGGGUUGUAAACUUCUUUUAUAUGGGAAUAAAGUGCAGUAUGUAUACUGCUUUGCAUGUACCUUAUGAACAAGGAUCGGCUAACUCCGUGCCAGCAGCCGCGGUAAUACGGAGGGUCCGAGCGUUAUCCGGAUUUAUUGGGUUUAAAGGGAGCGUAGGCGGGUUGUUAAGUCAGUUGUGAAAGUUUGCGGCUCAACCGUAAAAUUGCAGUUGAUACUGGCAUCCUUGAGUACAGUAGAGGUAGGCGGAAUUCGUGGUGUAGCGGUGAAAUGCUUAGAUAUCACGAAGAACUCCGAUUGCGAAGGCAGCCUGCUGGACUGUAACUGACGCUGAUGCUCGAAAGUGUGGGUAGCAAACAGGAUUAGAUACCCGAGUAGUC
rnacentral:rRNA from 1 species